rnacentral:misc_RNA from 1 species
CGACCCUCAAGCAUAGCUUGGUGUUGGGUGAAGUCCUUAAAAGGGACCCACCCCUAACUUGUAGGCGGUAAUCGCCCGUUUUCCCCAGCGUAGCAGGCUCAAGCAUUCGCUCCGGGAACAGGCGGUUUGACUCGCUAAAUAAAAAACCUUCUCAAG